AGAGUUUGAUCAUGGCUCAGAACGAACGCUGGCGGCGUGCCUAACACAUGCAAGUCGAACGAGAAGUACGUAGCAAUACGUAUUGUAAAGUGGCGCACGGGUGAGUAACACGUGGGUAAUCUGCCCUUGAGUUUGGGAUAACCCCGCGAAAGCGGGGCUAAUACCGAAUAAGACCACGGGGACCAAAGUCCCUGAGGUAAAAGACGGCCUCUAUUUAUAAGCUGUCACUUGAGGAUGAGCCCGCGGCCCAUUAGCUAGUUGGCAGGGUAACGGCCUACCAAGGCGAUGAUGGGUAGCUGGUCUGAGAGGACGAUCAGCCACACUGGAACUGAGACACGGUCCAGACUCCUACGGGAGGCAGCAGUGGGGAAUAUUGCGCAAUGGGCGAAAGCCUGACGCAGCAACGCCGCGUGGGGGAUGAAGGUUCUCGGAUUGUAAACCCCUUUCGACCGGAACGAAUCUCCUCCUGGUAAACAAUCAGGAGGAUCGACGGUACCGGGAGAAGAAGCCACGGCUAACUCUGUGCCAGCAGCCGCGGUAAGACAGAGGUGGCGAGCGUUGUUCGGAUUUAUUGGGCGUAAAGCGAACGCAGGUGGUUUGGUAAGUCAGAGGUGAAAGACCACAGCUUAACUGUGGCACUGCCUUUGAUACUGCCUUUCUAGAGUGCAUGAGGGGGAAGCGGAAUUCCGAGUGUAGAGGUGAAAUUCGUAGAUAUUCGGAGGAACACCGGUGGCGAAGGC
rnacentral:rRNA from 1 species